rnacentral:tRNA from 1 species
GCCCGGGUGGCGAAACUGGUAGACGCAUGGGACUUAAAAUCCCUUGGGGGCAACCCCGUCCGGGUUCGAAUCCCGGCCCGGGCA